rnacentral:rRNA from 1 species
GACACUCGACAAUAUGUAUCUCGGCUCUCACAUCUAUGAAGAACAUAGCGAAAUACGAUACUUCGUGUGAAUUGCAGAAUCUCGUAAACCAUUGAGUCUUUGAACACAAGUUGCGCCCAAAGCCAUUAGCUAAGGGCACGUAUGCCAAGGUGCCA